AACGAACGCUGGCGGCAUGCCUAACACAUGCAAGUCGAACGAGACCUUCGGGUCUAGUGGCGCACGGGUGCGUAACGCGUGGGAACCUGCCCUUAGGUUCGGAAUAACUCCCCGAAAGGGGUGCUAAUACCGGAUAAUGUCUUCGGACCAAAGAUUUAUCGCCUUUGGAUGGGCCCGCGUUGGAUUAGCUAGUUGGUAGGGUAAAAGCCUACCAAGGCGACGAUCCAUAGCUGGUCUGAGAGGAUGAUCAGCCACACUGGGACUGAGACACGGCCCAGACUCCUACGGGAGGCAGCAGUGGGGAAUAUUGGACAAUGGGCGAAGGCCUGAUCCAGCAAUGCCGUGUGAGUGAUGAAGGCCUUAGGGUUGUAAAGCUCUUUUACCCGGGAUGAUAAUGACAGUACCGGGAGAAUAAGCUCCGGCUAACUCCGUG
rnacentral:rRNA from 1 species